rnacentral:rRNA from 1 species
CCUACGGGUGGCAGCAGUGGGGAAUAUUGGACAAUGGGGUGAACCCUGAUCCAGCCAUGCCGCGUGUGUGAAGAAGGCCCUCGGGUUGUAAAGCACUUUCAGUGAGGAAGAACGCCUGGUGGUUAAUACCCAUCAGGAAAGACAUCACUCACAGAAGAAGCACCGGCUAACUCCGUGCCAGCAGCCGCGGUAAUACGGAGGGUGCGAGCGUUAAUCGGAAUUACUGGGCGUAAAGCGCGCGUAGGUGGCUUGAUAAGCCGGUUGUGAAAGCCCCGGGCUCAACCUGGGAACGGCAUCCGGAACUGUCAAGCUAGAGUGCAGGAGAGGAAGGUAGAAUUCCCGGUGUAGCGGUGAAAUGCGUAGAGAUCGGGAGGAAUACCAGUGGCGAAGGCGGCCUUCUGGACUGACACUGACACUGAGGUGCGAAAGCGUGGGUAGCAAACAGGAUUAGAUACCCGAGUAGUC